GAUGAACGCUGGCGGCGUGCCUAAUACAUGCAAGUCGAGCGAACGGACGAGAAGCUUGCUUUUCUGAUGUUAGCGGCGGACGGGUGAGUAACACGUGGAUAACCUACCUAUAAGACUGGGAUAACUUCGGGAAACCGGAGCUAAUACCGGAUAAUAUUUUGAACCGCAUGGUUCAAAAGUGAAAGACGGUCUUGCUGUCACUUAUAGAUGGAUCCGCGCUGCAUUAGCUAGUUGGUAAGGUAACGGCUUACCAAGGCAACGAUGCAUAGCCGACCUGAGAGGGUGAUCGGCCACACGGGAACGGAGACACGGUCCAGACUCCUACGGGAGGCAGCAGUAGGGAAGCUUCCGCAAUGGGCGAAAGCCUGACGGAGCAACGCCGCGUGAGUGAUGAAGGUCUUCGGAUCGUAAAACUCUGUUAUUAGGGAAGAACAUAUGUGUAAGUAACUGUGCACAUCUUGACGGUACCUAAUCAGAAAGCCACGGCUAACUACGUG
rnacentral:rRNA from 1 species